rnacentral:rRNA from 1 species
GAUGAACGCUGGCGGCGUGCCUAAUACAUGCAAGUCGAGCGAACAGAUGAGGAGCUUGCUCCUCUGACGUUAGCGGCGCACGGGUGAGUAACACGUGGAUAACCUACCUAUAAGACUGGGAUAACUUCGGGAAACCGGAGCUAAUACCGGAUAAUAUCUUGAACCGCAUUGUUCAAUAGUGAAAGACGGUUUUGCUGUCACUUAUAGAUGGAUCCGCGCCGCAUUAGCUAGUUGGUAAGGUAACGGCUUACCAAGGCAACGAUGCGUAGCCGACCUGAGAGGGUGAUCGGCCACACUGGAACUGAGACACGGUCCAGACUCCUACGGGAGGCAGCAGUAGGGAAUCUUCCGCAAAGGGCGAAAGCCUGACGGAGCAACGCCGCGUGAGUGAUGAAGGUCUUCGGAUCGUAAAACUCUGUUAUUAGGGAAGAACAAAUGUGUAAGUAACUAUGCACGUCUUGACGGUACCUAAUCAGAAAGCCACGGCUAACUACGUG